UGGGGAAUAUUGCGCAAUGGAGGGAACUCUGACGCAGCAACGCCGCGUGAAGGAUGAAGGCUUUCGGGUUGUAAACUUCUUUGAUCGGGGACGAAGAUGACGGUACCCGAGGAACAAGCCACGGCUAACUACGUGCCAGCAGCCGCGGUAAUACGUAGGUGGCAAGCGUUGUCCGGAAUUACUGGGUGUAAAGGGCGUGUAGGCGGGGCGGCAAGUCAGAUGUGAAAUACCGUGGCUUAACUGCGGGGGUGCAUCUGAAACUGCUGCUCUUGAGUGUCGGAGAGGAAAGUGGAAUUCCCAGUGUAGCGGUGAAAUGCGUAGAGAUUGGGAGGAACACCAGUGGCGAAGGCGGCUUUCUGGACGAUAACUGACGCUGAGGCGCGAAAGCGUGGGUAGCAAACAGG
rnacentral:rRNA from 2 species